AGACCCGAAACCCGGUGAUCUAGCCAUGGGCAGGUUGAAGGUUGGGUAACACUAACUGGAGGACCGAACCGACUAAUGUUGAAAAAUUAGCGGAUGACCUGUGGCUGGGGGUGAAAGGCCAAUCAAACCGGGAGAUAGCUGGUUCUCCCCGAAAGCUAUUUAGGUAGCGCCUCGUGAAUUCAUCUCCGGGGGUAGAGCACUGUUUCGGCUAGGGGGCCAUCCCGGCUUACCAACCCGAUGCAAACUGCGAAUACCGGAGAAUGUUAUCACGGGAGACACACGGCGGGUGCUAACGUCCGUCGUGAAGAGGGAAACAACCCAGACCGCCAGCUAAGGUCCCAAAGUCAUGGUUAAGUGGGAAACGAUGUGGGAAGGCCCAGACAGCCAGGAUGUUGGCUUAGAAGCAGCCAUCAUUUAAAGAAAGCGUAAUAGCUCACUGGUCGAGUCGGCCUGCGCGGAAGAUGUAACGGGGCUAAACCAUGCACCGAAGCUGCGGCAGCGAACGUAUCACCCAAGACAACUUUACGGAGUUGACGAUUGACGGAGCGAAGCGACGUCAAAGCGUUCAUUAAAGUCGAGUUGGCUUAGGGAUACGUUCGUUGGGUAGGGGAGCGUUCUGUAAGCCUGCGAAGGUGGCCUGUGAGGGUUGCUGGAGGUAUCAGAAGUGCGAAUGCUGACAUAAGUAACGAUAAAGCGGGUGAAAAGCCCGCUCGCCGGAAGACCAAGGGUUCCUGUCCAACGUUAAUCGGGGCAGGGUGAGUCGACCCCUAAGGCGAGGCCGAAAGGCGUAGUCGAUGGGAAACGGGUUAAUAUUCCCGUACUUGGUGUUACUGCGAAGGGGGGACGGAGAAGGCUAUGUUGGCCGGGCGACGGUUGUCCCGGUUUAAGCGUGUAGGUGUGUGUUCCAGGUAAAUCCGGUUCACUUUAACACUGAGGCGUGAUGACGAGGCACUACGGUGCUGAAGCAACAAAUGCCCUGCUUCCAGGAAAAGCCUCUAAGCAUCAGGUAACAUCAAAUCGUACCCCAAACCGACACAGGUGGUCAGGUAGAGAAUACCAAGGCGCUUGAGAGAACUCGGGUGAAGGAACUAGGCAAAAUGGUGCCGUAACUUCGGGAGAAGGCACGCUGACACGUAGGUGAAGUGAUUUACUCACGGAGCUGAAGUCAGUCGAAGAUACCAGCUGGCUGCAACUGUUUAUUAAAAACACAGCACUGUGCAAACACGAAAGUGGACGUAUACGGUGUGACGCCUGCCCGGUGCCGGAAGGUUAAUUGAUGGGGUCAGCGCAAGCGAAGCUCCUGAUCGAAGCCCCGGUAAACGGCGGCCGUAACUAUAACGGUCCUAAGGUAGCGAAAUUCCUUGUCGGGUAAGUUCCGACCUGCACGAAUGGCGUAAUGAUGGCCAGGCUGUCUCCACCCGAGACUCAGUGAAAUUGAACUCGCUGUGAAGAUGCAGUGUACCCGCGGCAAGACGGAAAGACCCCGUGAACCUUUACUAUAGCUUGACACUGAACAUUGAGCCUUGAUGUGUAG
rnacentral:rRNA from 1 species